CACGUAGGCGGACUGUUUAGUCAGAGGUGAAAUCCCGGGGCUCAACCUCGGAAUUGCCUUUGAUACUGGCAGUCUUGAGUUCGAGAGAGGUGAGUGGAAUUCCGAGUGUAGAGGUGAAAUUCGUAGAUAUUCGGAGGAACACCAGUGGCGAAGGCGGCUCACUGGCUCGAUACUGACGCUGAGGUGCGAAAGCGUGGGGAGCAAACA
rnacentral:rRNA from 1 species